UAGGGAAUCUUCCGCAAUGGACGCAAGUCUGACGGAGCAACGCCGCGUGAGUGAAGAAGGAUUUCGGUUCGUAAAACUCGGUUGUUAGAGAAGAACAGCGCAUAGAGUAACUGUUAUGCGUGUGACGGUAUCUAACCAGAAAGCCACGGCUAACUACGUGCCAGCAGCCGCGGUAAUACGUAGGUGGCAAGCGUUGUCCGGAUUUAUUGGGCGUAAAGCGAGCGCAGGCGGUCAAUUAAGUCUGAUGUGAAAGCCCCCGGCUCAACCGGGGAGGGUCAUUGGAAACUGGUUGACUUGAGUGCAGAAGAGGAGAGUGGAAUUCCAUGUGUAGCGGUGAAAUGCGUAGAUAUAUGGAGGAACACCAGUGGCGAAGGCGACUCUCUGGUCUGUAACUGACGCUGAGGCUCGAAAGCGUGGGUAGCAAACAGG
rnacentral:rRNA from 1 species